GACGAACGCUGGCGGUAUGCUUAACACAUGCAAGUCGAACGAGAAGCUUUUUAAUGAUCCUUCGGGUGAACUAAGAAGUGGAAAGUGGCGAACGGGUGAGUAACGCGUGGGUAACCUGCCUCAUGGAAAGGAAUAGCCUCGGGAAACUGGGAGUAAAGCCUUAUAUUAUUGAGUUGUCGCAUGGCAAUUCGAUGAAAACUCCGGUGCCAUGAGAUGGACCCGCGUCCCAUUAGCUAGUUGGUGAGAUAACAGCCCACCAAGGCAACGAUGGGUAACCGGUCUGAGAGGGCGAACGGUCACACUGGAACUGAGACACGGUCCAGACUCCUACGGGAGGCAGCAGUGGGGAAUAUUGCGCAAUGGGGGAAACCCUGACGCAGCAAUACCGCGUGAGUGAAGAAGGUUUUCGGAUCGUAAAACUCUUUUAUUGGGGAAGAAGAAGUGACGGUACCCAAUGAAGAAGUCCCGGCUAACUACGUGCCAGCAGCCGCAGUAAAAC
rnacentral:rRNA from 1 species